CCGCAGCAUGUGGGAUCUUCCUGGCCCAGGGAUCGAACCCAUGUGCCCUGCAUUGGCAGGCAGAUUCUUAACUAAUGUGCCACCAGGAAAGUCCCUGAACAAAAACAUUUCAAUCUAAGGCAAGAUACAAUAGUUUCAAUUAAAAUGUCGGACAACUCAUUAUAAGGUUAUAAAACUUGGGUUAGUCAUGAACAACAUGUGGUAGGAAUUGGAGAGCCAGUCUCCCCCCUCACCCCCACCCUGCCCAGCCACUCCAGCCGUGUGUAUGUGGGCAAAUUAUUCAGAAUUUGGGUCACAACUUCCUCAUCUGAUGGAAUGGAAGACAUUCACAACCUCUCAGAGUCAGUAUAAGAAUAAAAGUGGAUCAUUGACAAGAAAGCUGUUUGCAAAAGAGCAAAUACCCAUUUCUGUCAUUCUACUGGGUGCUGAAGCCCUAGCCUGGAAUAGUCUGAGCCCCAUAUAUUUCCAUGACACUCCUGUGUUUCAACCCCAAUUCUCCCAGUCAUGACAGACAUUCCUUUAGGGUCCUUCUCCGUUUUCAGAAUCAUCCCUCACAAUCCCUUUAGGAAAUGGGAAAUGUUGACCGUGUUUCAACCCCAAUUCUCCCAGUCAUGGGAGACCCUCCAUUUAUAGCACAUCCAUGAAAAGACAAAGCUCAUUCAAAAUGGAGCACUUGUGGGACCUCCCUGGUGGCGCAGUGGUUAAGAAUCCGCCUGCCGGGGUACCUUGUCAUAGGUGGGGCUGGAUGGCCGUCUCCUUCGGCUUCCACUGUGGGCUCAGCGCGUUACUUGCACCGAAGGCCGAGCCGGCACCACGGUGGCUCCCAGCUUGCAGACAAAAGACAUCAAUCUCUUUCCUUAGUCGACCAGACCUUCCAAACCUGGCUCAUAAAAGGCUAAAAGGCAAAAGUCCAGGAAUUAUCUUCAUCCCUGGCUACAUUAAUAUGAAUGGUACAAAAGCAUUGGCGAUUGAGGAGUUUUGCAAAUCUCUAGGUCACGCCUGUAUAAGCUUUGAUUACUCAGGAGUUGGAAAUUCAGAUGGUAACUUAGAAGAAUGCACAGUGGGAAAAUGGAGAAAAGAUGUUCUUUCUAUAAUUGAUGACUUAGCUGAAGGACCACAGAUACUAGCUGGAUCUAGCCUUGGUGGAUGGCUUAUGCUUCACGCUGCAAUUGCACGGCCACAAAAGGUUGUUGCUCUUAUUGGCAUAGCGACAGCUGUGGAUGGCCUAGUGACACAGUUUAAUCAGCUUCCUGUUGAGGCAAAAAAGGAAAUAGAGAUGAAAGAUGUGUGGUCCAUGCCAUCAAAAUACAGUGAAGGAGGAGUUUAUCGCAUUCAGUACAGUGUCAUUAAAGAAGCAGAGCACCACUGCUUGUUACAUAGUCCUAUUCCUGUGAACUGCCCUAUAAGAUUGCUCCACGGCAUGAAGGAUGACAUUGUAUCAUGGCAUACGUCCAUGCAGGUUGCUGACCGAGUAGUCAGCACAGAUGUAGAUGUCUUCCUCCGAAAGAAUAGUGAUCACCGAAUGAAGGAAAAAGCGGACAUUCAACUUCUGGUUUACACUGUUGAUGACUUAAUUGAUAAGCUUUCAACUGUAGUUAACUAGAGUCAUAGUUUUAGUUGGAAUGUAAAGUAAUGGAUCCAGAAGAUGGAAGAGGGAUAACAGAUGAAGGACCCUGAUACUUAGGUUUUUUUCUCUUAUCUCUACCUUGUAAAUAUCAUGUGCGUAUUUAAUGAUGUAUUUGCACAAGUGAUUCAGAUUGUGAAGAAAGAGCCAGCUGCUGUUUGAAAAAUUUUCUCUUUCCUUCAAUCCUUGACUUUUUUCAUUAAAAUAUUUCCUAUUUUUUUAUUCAAGAGAUGUUUACCUUCUAAUGCUUGUGUAAACUGUGCCAGCUCUUACUUAGAAUUGCUAAUAAAACUUGAUUUUUUUGUUUUCUGUUUGGUAUCAUUGUAUAUGGAGAUUUGCAAAAUUAUUUCUGAUUUUAAAAUGCGGUUUACAAGAUAUAGGAAAAUGUUUAUUGAAAUAAAUCUAAAAUGACUAGAGAAAUGUCUGAAACAUAAUAAAGUUCA